rnacentral:rRNA from 1 species
GACGAACGCUGGCGGCGUGCUUAACACAUGCAAGUCGAACGGAAAGACCCUGCUUUUGUGGGGUGCUCGAGUGGCGAACGGGUGAGUCACACGUGAGUAACCUGCCCUUGACUUUGGUAUAACUUCAGGAAACUGGGGCUAAUACCGGAUAGGAGCUCCUGCUGCAUGGUGGGGGUUGGAAAGUUUCGGCGGUUGGGGAUGGACUCGCGGCUUAUCAGCUUGUUGGUGGGGUAGUGGCUGACCAAGGCUUUGACGGGUAGCCGGCCUGAGAGGGUGACCGGCCACAUUGGGACUGAGAUACGGCCCAGACUCCUACGGGAGGCAGCAGUGGGGAAUAUUGCACAAUGGGCGGAAGCCUGAUGCAGCAACGCCGCGUGCGGGAUGACGGCCUUCGGGUUGUAAACCGCUUUCGCCUGUGACGAAGCGUGAGUGACGGUAAUGGGUAAAGAAGCACCGGCUAACUACGUG